ACAGAAGCUGAAUUGUUUAGUUCUUAACAUUUUAUACUAAUCUGUGGUGCUUUUCAACACUCUAUUUAAUUAUGUUCUCAUCUGUUUUUCUUUGCAUUAAGACCAUAAACAGAGUCCACAAACAUGCUAUCGACUGUGUAAAGCAUCUCUUCUAAUAUCUAUCAAGUGAAAGGAGGUUGUUUUAUGAGAGGAAUUUUGAAAGGUCUUUGCUGGAUUUUCUGCCUUUCAAAUGUUUGUACCAGUUGGAACACUGAACGUGUCACUGAAUAGGCGCAGCAGAAGAUAAUUGUCUCAAGAAGAUAAGAGCCUCUUGGGGAAGAAGGCCAUCAAACUGAUAAUAAUAAUGAUGAACAUGAACAUGCUAUUGCUGAAUUAAGAUGAAUACUCUUUUUCCUAUGUUUGAAAUAGCUCACAUUAGAUUGCUAUCUAAUCUAUUACUUGGAAUAACAGAGGGAAACUACAGCUUUAGUACCUAUGCAUGACAGCACUUAUGGUGGAGCUGUAAUUAACCAAGUGAUUUAUUAAGGGAAGGAACUUUAGAAAAAUGACUUGGAUUAAGUAAUGCGAAAUACUGGAGCAGCUUCUUAAGGUAUUUUUCUUUGGCUUGCUCCAGAGUUUCUUGAACAACUAAAAGUUUUUUUUAAGUGUCAAGAAGUCUACUGUCUUGUGAAACUUGUGGAAAAGUGAGUUAGGUUGAAGUGACUCAAAAAUCAGUUCAGAGAUUCCUGAUUGAACUGAAUAUUUUAUCUACUUAAAAAAACUGCUUUGACUUUGGUUAUUUUAAAAAUAAAUCCCAAAAUAGUGUUUCACAUUGACCGUUUUAUUUCAUACACCUUAUGAUUUUUUGGCAUGGCUACUGACAAUAAAGCUGAAGAAGAAAGCUCGGGAGGGCUCCAGACUAACUUGGUGUGGCAGAAUGAUGCCUUUUACACUUGCUUUGCAAAUGCUUUUCUUGCAAAAGUCUUGUUUAUGGGAGAUUCCGGAAAAACAGCAAAAUGACAAAACCAGAAGCUUUGUUCAAAUAUUUCCCUUUUACUGAGUGAUAUCUUCAUUAACUGCAAUCAAGUGCUUCUGUGGAAAGUGUGUCAAUCUGUACAGGCGUGUAGGAAAGAAAGGCUGAGAUCACGAAAUAAUUUCUGGGGGCUUUGGUUAUGUUCUGUUGAUGGCAGUGCUGUAAAAAUGUUGAUAAUUAGUAACAUUUCCAGAGGAAGAGAUUUAAAUUGCUCUGUUAUCUUUAGCACAUAGUGUCCCUAGAUUUCUGCUCAUAAAGUUUUUGCUUAUGAGCUGGCCCUAAAGCACAUACAGAUCAGGCAAGCUUUCUCUAAAAUUUCUAAAAUGCUGCUGCAGACCUAGUUUUGUGGAUGUUAUUUGCUUGUUUUGGACAUAUGGAGUGCCAUGUAAAAUUUGUUUCCUUUCUCUAAAAUUAUGUGGCUCAGGACUUUAAAAAUAGGUGGUAUGUAAAGUUUUACUUCCAAAUAUAAAGAUUUAAAAAUGCUGAGCAGUUUCAUUUAGCUUUAGAGAGCUCAGUACUUUAGAAAAAUCAAAUUAUUUUUCAGCCUAAAUUUAGACACUUGCAUUAAAAAGCUCUGAUGAAUAUUCCAAAGAAAUAAAUUAAUAGAAAUAAAUUAAUGAUCACCCUAACAUUUAGCUUUAAAUAAAAGUAUUUUGAGUAAUAAGAAAUCUGGUUAAAAAAAUCCUAAAAAUAAAGAUACUUUAAAAUGUGAAAGUUAUUAGAAACCAAUGUGAAGACCACCUAGAAUCAUUUCUUGACAGAAAUAAGUACAACAAAAAGCAAAAUGGUAAGAGUGAACCCCAGACACAGUGGUAAGGCUCAAGUGGUUUUUCCUAAGCAAUCAGGAAUUCUUAAAAAUUAUGGUCUUGCUCAAUAGAAUAAAAUAGAGGAUGAAAAGAUGAGAAUUCAGAAAUCUGGGAAACCUAGGAAACAUAAAUAACCAGAGAUAAAGAAGACCAAAUAAAGCUUAAGUCUUCAAUAAAGUGAAACCAUAAAACCUGCAUGAAAAUCUGUAAGUUUACUGAGCUGUAGCUAAGGAGAAUGAGUACUGCAGUAUGAUGAAAGAUUUGUCUCAAUAUUCACCAUGUGAGUUAAUAGCAGGUAUAUUAUUCUGAAACCUAUUCCUUAUAAGGAAUAAAAGUAAAGGAUCUUAUAAGAUCAGGGUGCUGACACAUGAAGAUACUGAAAGAUUAUUGAGAUAUUUUUAAUCCAUAUUGUGUUUCAUGUGAUAAAUCAUAACUUCUGUAUUAAAAAAAACAAAAACACCUUGAAUAAGUUAACAGAAAUCUAGUAAAGAACAGGAUGGCAUUUAAGUUGGAUUUUCCUUUUAGAAAAUUAUUCAUCCCUCAUUAGAGGUAUGACUGAGGAUAAUAGGUUUUCAUGGAAGAAGAGCUGAAGUACUGCACCAUCCUGACUGAAAAACAAGAAAACCUCACUAGAGUGGGAUUAAAUGGUUAAAUCUUAGUAAGGGCAAAGGUUAUUACUAAAGUGCCUCUGGCUCCCCCUCUGCAUACAUGUGUUUAAAUGUAUAUUUUUCUUGAAAAGUAGGUGAACACUGAAAUGAAAAAUAUGCAGUAGGAAAAAUGAUAACGGUUAUUUUGGAUGAGAGAUGACUGAGGGACUUGGAGGAACAAAAGCAAGCUACAGCAUGGUAGAGUGAGAGCUGAAAAAUAUCCCUGAGUAAUGCAAGGUAAAAAACACUAAAAGAAUAAUUGGAAAAAAAAUAGCUUCAGCUACUCUGGAUAAAGGAAGAAAAAAGUGUUAUUGCUAUUUUAAGUGGAGGUCAAAGUGAAAACAAAUAUGUUUGAAAUCUUAAAAGGAAAAAAAAGCCAAACAAAACCAAAA